rnacentral:rRNA from 1 species
GGGUGCGAUCAUACCAGCGUUAAUGCACCGGAUCCCAUCAGAACUCCGCAGUUAAGCGCGCUUGGGCUAGAGUAGUACUGGGAUGGGUGACCUCCCGUGAAGUCCUAGUGUUGCACCCU